CUGGCCUAAAAACUCCAGGUAUAUUUGCACCCUGAAUUAAAUAAUCACAAGAAAGUAAAACAGAUUCUCAAACAGACACUUUCACACAUAAAACUCACACUCAGGACUCAGGCUGUAGAUAGACAAGUGACAGGUUCUAUAUAAAAGGGGACAUGUGGGCAUACUAUAUACCUGUCUGACAUUAACCACAGGAAGCCGAGUGAAGGCCCAGAGUGCAGACCAAUUCCAAAGAAUGAAAAAUAUAGGUAAGUUACUCAUUUACCAUAUGCAGAGGUGAUCAGGCUCUUUUUUUUUUUUUUUUUUUCAAUCUCUGGGGGUCUCCUCUCCGGUCCUGGGAUUUUACGGCUUCGAGCAGAAUAACAACAACACUCUCGUCCCUGUUCGGAAGUGCGCCAACUGAUUUGGACCAAAGAAAACUUUGAUAAUUUGUCUAUCUACACCUUCCAAAUUGAUUGAUUAAUGCGUGCACGCUUUCCCUAGAAGUAAUUCACACCGGAGACAAAGUUUCUGAUCAG